rnacentral:rRNA from 1 species
UACGUAGGGUGCAAGCGUUGUCCGGAAUUAUUGGGCGUAAAGAGCUCGUAGGCGGUCUGUCGCGUCGGCUGUGAAAACCCGGGGCUCAACCCCGGGCCUGCAGUCGAUACGGGCAGACUAGAGUGCGGUAGGGGAGACUGGAAUUCCUGGUGUAGCGGUGAAAUGCGUAGAUAUCGUAAGGAAGACCAGUGGCGAAGGCGGAUCUCUGGACAGUUACUGACACUGAGGCACGAAGGCCAGGGGAGCAAACGGG